CAAGAAGCCGAAAGGCUACUUAAAACCAUCGCGAACUUAUCCAAGUUGCUUCGGCGGCGCGGCUCCCCUCACGGGGGACCGCAGCCCCCCGCCUCUCAGGAGGUAAGGGGCAGCCGCCGGAGGUACGAAACUCUGUAUUAUAGUGGUAUCUCUGAGUAUAAAACAAAUAAGUUUA
rnacentral:misc_RNA from 1 species